AGUUAACAAGGGAAUCCACAAGGACACACACUUCUGGCAGCAUCCAUCUUGUGGUUCACAAACUGAAGAGAGAAACACACUGACAAUGCUCAGCCAACCAGACAAAGAGAAACCCCACUGGACAUGCUCAACAACCCAAGGAAGGCUCCGUUAAAGACAAGCCAGGCUGUUUUUAAACUGCAGCAUCUGAUCUGUCUCUACUUCAGAUGCCCAACUUGGACACAUCACGCCAGCCAAAGCUUUUGCAGUCAGAUGGCCAGUGAGAUCCAGACCCUCCAAGCACAAACCAAGGUGAGCAGGAGACCUUCAGAAUUCUCUGCAUCAAUUGUCCCUGCUGAUGUUGGGGCACCCAUACCCCAACAUUCAAUCCAGAGCUACCAACCCAGAAUUAUAUGGAAUUCAGGCCUGUGUCUGAUUCCAUUUUAUUAAGGAAUGAAUUAAUGCCUGAACUCAAGGUGAACUGACACCAAGGUCUCAUGACUGCCUCUGCUAACUGCUCUGUGAAGAAAGAGGCAAUCCAGCAUUGUAUUGUGAAAUGGAUACUCAAAGAAACACAAAGGCCAGGCCUGAGCGAUCAAAAUGCUAAAAUCUAACCCACUAUCAGACAAUGUCUGGAAGAAGUGAGAAGCCGAGCUCUUACUUCCUCUUGCAAGGUCUAUGUUAAUCCUUGUCAAUGAUUGCCCUGCUAUGCCCAAAGGGGAUACUCAAUAGCUGUCUAUAGAAAUUCCACUCUAGGUAAAUGCACACAAAGAAAACACCUAUAGAUUUUAAUUCUUACUUUACUAACACCUUUUAACACCUUCUGCGACCAAGCACCAGAAAUCUGGGUACAAGAGAAGAUGCCCAUUUGCAGCUCAGAGAUGCAGAUUUGCUUUGGGCAGAUUAGAAUGUAUCUCCCCUAAGUAGCAGUUUACAGAAGAUGGGAUUCAGAUCUCCCUGGACUGAGCUAACAUACUGAAUAAUUAUCCAGAAGGUAACAGCAAAUUGUCACCCUUUUGGGGACCCAGGAAGGGUGAGGAUAUUUUGAAUAGACUCUGUGGAGAUCAAAGGAAGAUACAACUAUAAAGAAUGAGGCUUACUGGACAGAGUCAGCAAUCUUUUGCCUACAAGCAAGACUUGCUCAUGAGCAAUCCAAGGGUUUGCUGCCCAAGCCACAGGGCUAGAGGCAGGAACUCUUUCCAGGGAGAAGGGACUGUUUGUGACUUCUGCUACGCAGUGAGAAGUCAAGACUCCCCAGCCGUGAUACUCCCAAGCAAUCUUGCCUAACAAGCAUACUUGCUCAAGAGCCAUCCCAGAGUUUGCUGCUAACCCGCGGGGCAACAAGCAGGAACUCUGUCCAUGGACAGGAACUGUCUGUGACUUCUGCUGUGCAGUGAGAAGUUAAGACUUUCCCAGCCAUGGUGCUCUCACCCUCAGCCUCGCUCUGAGAAAACUGCCUGCUUGACCAUCGCUUCCAAGCUCCUGUCUCCAGCUACAGCCUCUCUCCUUCAGCUGAAAGCCCCACCGCUCUCAAGCCUCUGACCCUGGUAAUAUGCUGCUCCACAAGCCUUGGGUCUCUCCAUCCUUUCCCUUUCUUCUCCUUUCCCCUCUUCCCUCUACUAAUUCCUGAUCUCCCCAACCCAUGCCAAUCCUCAACCUUCCUUAACCCCCCUUUUCCGCCUAUAUCUGAAUUAUAUUAGGCUCUAGGAGGAUUUAAUACACACACACAGGAUAGUUAGGAACACUGGGUGAAUGUUGUUGCUGGCUAUGGUUGAAAUAUUGUUAGUAAUUCUGAUAGAUUGUUCUGCUUUCUGCUCAGUUAGAUUGAUGUUGUUAUUCUUUUGUACUCAAUAAAGCCCAUUGAAUCAUU